UACGAAGGGGGCUAGCGUUGUUCGGAAUCACUGGGCGUAAAGCGCACGUAGGCGGUCUUUCAAGUCAGGGGUGAAAUCCCGGGGCUCAACCUCGGAAUUGCCUUUGAUACUGUAGGUCUCGAGUCCGGAAGAGGUGGGUGGAAUUCCUAGUGUAGAGGUGAAAUUCGUAGAUAUUAGGAAGAACACCGGUGGCGAAGGCGGCCCACUGGUCCGGUACUGACGCUGAGGUGCGAAAGCGUGGGGAGCAAACAGG
rnacentral:rRNA from 1 species